GGACACAUAGCUCAGUUUGGUUAGAGCGUUGCCCUCACAUGGCAGAGGUCGAAGGUUCAAGUCCUUCUGUGUCCACCA
rnacentral:tRNA from 1 species